GGACCGGUGGUGUAGUUGGUUAACACAUCGCCCUGUCACGGCGAAGAUCACGGGUUCAAGUCCCGUCCGGUCCGCCA
rnacentral:tRNA from 1 species